CCGCACUAAGUUCAUCAUCAAUAUCGUGACCUCCCGGUAGCAGGGGACCACCAGGUUGCCUAAGGAGGAGUGAACCGGCCCAGGUCAGAAACGGAGCAGGUCAAAACUCCUGUGCUGAUCAGCAGUGGGA
rnacentral:SRP_RNA from 1 species